rnacentral:rRNA from 1 species
UGGGGAAUUUUGGACAAUGGGCGCAAGCCUGAUCCAGCCAUGCCGCGUGCAGGAUGAAGGCCCUCGGGUUGUAAACUGCUUUUGUACGGAACGAAAAGCCUCUUUCUAAUAAAGAGGGGUGAUGACGGUACCGUAAGAAUAAGCACCGGCUAACUACGUGCCAGCAGCCGCGGUAAUACGUAGGGUGCGAGCGUUAAUCGGAAUUACUGGGCGUAAAGCGUGCGCAGGCGGUCUUGCAAGACAGUGGUGAAAUCCCCGGGCUCAACCUGGGAACUGCCAUUGUGACUGCAAGGCUGGAGUACGGCAGAGGGGGAUGGAAUUCCGCGUGUAGCAGUGAAAUGCGUAGAUAUGCGGAGGAACACCGAUGGCGAAGGCAGUCCCCUGAGCCUGUACUGACGCUCAUGCACGAAAGCGUGGGGAGCAAACA